AUUCGNAUGAGCGAAGCUAGACGCAGCAACNCCNCGUGGACNAUGAAGGCCUUCGGGUCUNNAAGUCCUUUUUAGAGGGACGAGUGAGGACGGUACCUCUAGAAUAAGUCACGGCUAACUNCGUGCCAGCAGCCGCGGUAAAACGUAGGUGGCAAGCGUUAUCCGGAUUCACUGGGCGUAAAGCGCCUGCAGGCGGUCUCGUAAGUGGGAUGUGAAAUCUCCUGGCUUAACUGGGAGGGGCCAUUCCAUACUGCGGGACUUGAGGGCAGAAGAGGGAAGCGGAAUUCCCGGUGUAGUGGUGAAAUGCGUAGAUAUCGGGAGGAACACCAGUGGCGAAGGCGGCUUCCUGGCCUGCUCCUGACGCUAAGAGGCGAAAGCUAGGGGAGCGAACGGGAUUAGAAACCCCGGUAGUCCUAGCCGUAAACGAUGGAUACUGGGUGUCGGUGGUCCUAACCCCAUCGGUGCCGAAGCAAACGCGUUAAGUAUCCCGCCUGGGGACUACGGCCGCAAGGUUAAAACUCAAAAAAAUUGACGGA
rnacentral:rRNA from 1 species